rnacentral:rRNA from 1 species
UACGUAGGUGGCAAGCGUUGUCCGGAAUCACUGGGCGUAAAGGGCGCGUAGGCGGCCAACUAAGUCAGACGUGAAAUCCCUCGGCUUAACCGGGGAACUGCAUCUGAUACUGGGUGGCUGGAGAUUGGGAGAGGGAUGCGGAAUUCCAGGUGUAGCGGUGAAAUGCGUAGAUAUCUGGAGGAACACCGGUGGCGAAGGCGGCAUCCUGGACCAACACUGACGCUGAGGAGCGAAAGCAAGGGGAGCAAACAGG